ACUAUUUUCUAUCCACAGGUAGUUAAAUCCACAGCUGUGAAGAAGCUCAACUGUAUUUUCGAUCCUCAGUUCAAAAUCCACAUAUGUGGAGGGCCAACUUACAUUAAACAUGGAUUUUCAACUGUGAGGGCAUCCUUUCUCUUGAAGGAUGUGUAUAUGCUGCCGAAGCAAGCAUUCUUUCAAGGUUUCUGAUGAGAAGUCUGAGAAGUCAGCUGUAAUUCUUACCCUUGCUCUUUUACAGCUGACCAUGAGUAACUGAAGCCAUGAAAAGUGAAACUGCAGACAAGGGGGGACUACUGUUAUACACUGCACAAGAGCCUGCCUGAAAGGGCAAGCAGCGCCAAAAUCCAGCAAGAAUUCUCCAUCCCAAGCCCUGCAAUUACAAAUCUAAAUCUGCUCAGAGAAAGGAGCACCUUCUUCUAUUACACACAAAUGGGCCAGUGAUGGUCCUGCUGGCCACUACAAUGGGCAAUGAAAAAAAUAAAAAGGGAUAAAAGAUUAGACUACACUUGCUUCUCAGAAAGGUGAUUAGCACUAUCAACCCAGAAAGGGAUACAAGUGUUUCUGCUAUAACACAGUAUAUGCAUUCCUGAAUAAUACCAUGUUCUAUAAAGUAAAAAUAGCUGAACUUAUGCAGAGAACAGAGUUAGAGCCAGACCACUCGAAAUCUAUGGAAUUUUAAAAUCUGAGUCCUAACAAAACAACAAGAAUCCUUAUAAAAAUAUUAGUACUGUUUAAGUUUCCACUGGCACUUGUAUCAAUAAGCCAAUCCAUCCUUUCAAGCUUCCUAUCCUGGAGCUCAUGCUUCUUCCUUUGAGAAAUGAAAGAGAGAAGAUAUUCACUUCUAAUGGAGAUCAGGUUGACAAAAAUUUAAAAUAUCAUCUAGUGGUAGCUUCCUUCAUCAAUUUCUUUUUAACAAAAGUGAACUAUUCUUAUAGCUAUUUCAACUGAACUUAGAACUUCCUCUGAUCUUUUAACAUAAUGGAAUAUGUAGCAAUUUUUAAGCCAAUAAACCAGUACUUUAUUGCAAUAUAGGACAGUACUUUUAAAGAAUUUUCAGCAGUUUUCUUAUACUACUAAGGCUUUCUGUUUAGUUGUGAAAAAGCUUUCCCCCUGAUCAUUCCAAAACAUUAAUGUGUUUAAAGUGGUUUAGAAAAAACUCCAAACCAAAUUCCACACUAUUGACAUCAUUCCCCUAUUUGCCAAAUGUUAAAAGAAGUUUUUCAGGGAGAAGGAAAAUUGUAUAGGUUAGAAACAGGAUUCUAUAUAAAGAGGAAAAACACUGGAGAACAAGUGAAGGUAAAAUAGGAACUUUUAUUUUUCCUAUCUUUAAUUGAUCUAAAUGAUAAUGGAUCUAAUGGUUUGUUCAAGAUAAUAGCAACAAUGUAAUCAAUUAUGUAGCGUGUAUGUGCACGUGUGUGUGCGCACACGCGUGUUUGUGUGUAUAUGCUUAUAAGUGAAAGUGAUACAAAGGACAGGAGAGAAGAAUUAGGAUUAUUCUGUUAUUAUAAGGUGCUUGCAAUACCCAGGAUAGGUAUGUUAUUUGAAAGAAAACUUGGAUUGGAUUAGCUGUAUAUGUACACUGAAAACUCUAGGGUAGUGCUAAAAAAAGUAAAAAAAAGUAUAAUUGAUAUGCUAAAAAAGAAGUAAAUCAUGUAAAAUGUUCAAUUAU